GAUGAACGCUGGCGGCGUGCCUAACACACGCAAGCCGAGCGAUCUUCUUCGGAAGAGAGCGGCGGACGGGUGAGUAACGCGUGGGUAAGCUGCCCUGUACACACGGAUAACAUACCGAAAGGUAUGCUACUACGAGAUGAUAUGCUUUUAUCGCAUGGUAGAAGUAUCAAAGCCCUGGCGGUUCAGGAUGGACCCGCUGCUGAUUAGCUAGUUGGUAAGGUAACGGCUUACAAAGGCGACGAUCAGUAGCCGACCUGAGAGGGUGAUCGGCCACAUUGGAACUGAGACACGGUCCAAACUCCUACGGGAGGCAGCAGUGGGGAAUAUUGCACAAUGGGCGAAAGCCUGAUGCAGCAACGCCGCGUGAGCGAUGAAGGCCUUCGGGUCGUAAAGCUCUGUCCUCAAGGAAGAUAAUGACGGUACUUGAGGAGGAAGCCCCGGCUAACUACGUGCCAGCCGCCGCGGUAA
rnacentral:rRNA from 1 species